AUGACUGAGUGAUGGAUCACUCAGCUCAUGCGUCGACGAAGAACGCAGCUAGCUGUGAGAACUAAUGUGAAUUGGAGGACACGUUGAUCAUCGACACUUAGAACUCACUUUGUGGCCCUGGGUUACUCCCAGGGCUAUGCCUGCCUGAGGGUUG